rnacentral:rRNA from 1 species
UGAGGAAUAUUGGGCAAUGGGCGAAAGCCUGACCCAGCAACGCCGCGUGAGGGAAGAAGGUUUUCGGAUCGUAAACCUCUGUCCUUGGGGACGAAAGAAAUGACGGUACCCGGGGAACAAGCCACGGCUAACUACGUGCCAGCAGCCGCGGUAAUACGUAGGUGGCAAGCGUUGUCCGGAAUUACUGGGUGUAAAGGGCGUGUAGGCGGGGCGGCAAGUCAGAUGUGAAAUACCGUGGCUUAACUGCGGGGGUGCAUCUGAAACUGCUGCUCUUGAGUGUCGGAGAGGAAAGUGGAAUUCCCAGUGUAGCGGUGAAAUGCGUAGAGAUUGGGAGGAACACCAGUGGCGAAGGCGGCUUUCUGGACGAUAACUGACGCUGAGGCGCGAAAGCGUGGGUAGCAAACAGG